rnacentral:tRNA from 1 species
GGAGAUUUAGCUUAGUGGCAUAAGCACCUGCCUUGCAAGCAGGCAGUCAUGAAUUCGAUCUCUG